UACAGAGGUCCCAAGCGUUGUUCGGAUUCACUGGGCGUAAAGGGUGCGUAGGCGGUUGGGUAAGUCUGAUGUGAAAUCUCACAGCUUAACUGUGAAACUGCAUUGGAUACUAUCCAACUCGAGGAAUGGAGGGGAGACUGGAAUACUUGGUGUAGCAGUGAAAUGCGUAGAGAUGUGGAGGAACACCAGUGGCGAAGGCGACUCUUUGGUCUGUAACUGACGCUGAGGCGCGAAAGCGUGGGGAGCAAACAGG
rnacentral:rRNA from 1 species